CUUUUUGUUCCACAUCAGGGAAUUCACAGGGUAUCCAUUAGAAACCAUAUCACAUUUACAAGGCUCCACGGACUUCCUUAAGCCUUGAUGCUCCAACGGGUUAUACAGGCUAAGAGGUGGGGAUGAGUGCAGAUCCGAAGUGGGUGGGUGAGGAUCUCCCAGCCUCUCAGCCCUGGCACGGGGACUUGCUUUUCUCCAGGCUAUCUGGUUCUCUCUGUUUAUUCUCUGCCUGCUUUCCUUGUGUCUCUCGUUGUUUCUCUCUAAAUCUCCAUCUUUCCCUCUCUGUCCCUCUCCCCCUCCCUCCUUUCCUCUCUGUCUUUGUAACUCUCCCUCAAUUUUACUCAUUUUAGUGGUUCACUCUUUGGAUCUAGGACCUUGGUCAGCAUGAGCAUUGCACUCACAGAGAGGGUGACACGUUUCCUGAUGCCUGAAAGAGAGAAAUAAGAUGGCCCAGGAGACUCCAGGGCACUCUGCCCACUAAGCAUCUUUUUGGUCCUCCCCCUGCCAGAUUGAAAGAUGACAGACUGAGGACAAGCCCUAAGGGGACAGAGAGUCUAAGGCUCCAUGUUCCAACUCUGCAAGCCCCACCUCAGCUCAACUCAACACCUUAGACCUUCAGCUCACAGUUCUCUACAGGACACUUGUGAAAACUUGGAAAAUAUUAAUUGCUUAACAGUCCGCUUGCAAGUUGAACAGGCAGAUAAGGAGGAAAAGCCUUUCUUCUUUGACAAGCUUUCCAUGAAACAUAACCCCAGAACACGAGUGCCCAGAUGUAUACAUUCCAGGCAUGAAAAUGAAGGAUAAUUCUCCAAAAAGACUGACUGGCCCUUGGGACAAGAUCCACAGAGACUUCAUCUGAAACGUUCUUCAUCAAUCAAGAUCAUUUUUACUCAACACAACUUGUCACUCAAGUUUAAUGACCUUCACUACCAGAAGCCCAGAGUUCUAGAGUUAACUGCAUCCUACUUGACCCUGGUGUGGUAUUGGCCAACAAAGAGGCAGCAGGACAAAGAACACACAAUGGAGCUUGGGGCUCAACAACCUGGGAUCUGGGGCCAGACUCCACUUUGAAACUUUGGGUUUGCUCAUUACACACAGUGUCGGCAGCUGGUGAGUGUCUUUUGCAAUUCAUCAGAGGCCUCCAAGACCACCUGCUCUCGGCAUCCUGCAAACAGCUGGCUCUGGGAAAAGCCACAGGGAGGCUUUGUGGAGCUUGAGCUAAGGCCACCAGAUGUCCCAGGAUUAAGAAGCCAAUCCCAGUUUCCAAGGUCGUCACCACUUUAAUUUUUUGUAACGUUUGCCUCAAUUUUUAACCCUGAAAUGACCCUCUAUGUGGCCAUGCCCUACUCCAGUCCCUGAAGAAAAGCUAGAGAUGGUGGGAGCAGGAGCCAAAAGCUGGGCACUGGCAAGAAGGAAGGACAAGUUUAGAGAGGAGACACGUUGCAGGUCAGCCACAAUGUGGCUGACCUUGACAAUACAGAAACCAAAAACCAGGUGAAGGUCUGGGAAUGGGUGUCAUUUUGAGAGGUUUCCAAAGUUUAUCACAGACAGCCAGAAACUUCUCUGAGGUCUACUGAGAAAAUUCUUAUAAUUUGAAGCUGGAUCCUGGAUAACCCAACACAACUACGAUCCCCGUGAAGGAAAAAGUUAUUCAUGAUACUUGUUAAAGAAUGGCAAGGCAAACUCUAUUCAAAGGGGCUACUCCAGUGGGUUUUUUUAGUAGGGAAGAGAAAUUGGGCUCAACUCAGAAUACAAGGAAAAGUGGGAAUUUACAGGCAAGGAGGUCAAGGGGCAGGCUGGGGAGCAGUCCAUGGGAAAUUACUAAGAGGAAACCUCAGGGUUGGAUGUGGUGGCUCACACUUGUAAUCCCAGCACUUUGGGAGGCCAGGGCAGGCGGAUCACUUGAGGUCAGGAGUUCGAGACAAGCCUGGCCAGCAUGGCAAAACCUCGUCUCUACUAAAAAUACAAAAAUUAGCCAGGCAUGGCUACAUGGCAGUGCCACUACAAGCACGUGCCUCCAGACCUCCAAAGAGGAGUCAGGAGGCUGAGGCAGGACAAUUGCUUAAACCCGGGAGGUGGAGGUUGCAGUGGCAGAGGUCACAUCGCCACUGCACUCCAGCUGGGGCAACAGAGUGAGACCCUGUCUCAAAAAAAAAAAUAAUAAAAGGGGGAAACCUCAGGGGUAAGGGGGAUUCUGCCUAAACUGACCUAAUAGGAUUCUUGCUGACAGCAGGCCAGGGUGGCCAGACAUCACCUGAGGAGCUGGUGGGUGGAGGAUGAAGAACCCCAUCAAACCUUGCUAUUAAGAACCCAGCUCUUCUGUGAGGCUGAGGAGCAGUAGCAUCAGCAUCGACUGAGGGACUUGUCAGAAAUACAGACUCCCAGAAUCAGAAUCUACAUUUUAACAUUUCCGAUCCCCAGGUGACUUGUUUGCACAUUAAAGGUUGACAAGCUUCUUACCCUCUUCUGUGCCCUUGAUUCUUUUAGGUCAAAUAUAUCUGGUGUAGAUUGCUACCACC
rnacentral:lncRNA from 1 species